UGGUUUAUGUUGUUCAGGUGAAAAAUCCUACCCGAGAUUUUACUUUUUGUCGUCAUAGUGUGUUGAACUUCUUUUUGGAGGCUGUGGAUGUUGCAUGCAGCCUGUUUCCUUCCAUCUUUCAUCUUGUAUUUCAUAGCUUACGUAGAAACUAGAAUUUAAAGUAUGCUAAGUAUGUCAGUCAACACAUUCAAGCAGCUAGAAGGGUACAAGCUAUAGCUGUCGUGGGUUAACCCACCUCAUCCACAUCCCUUGUAGAAAUCGUGCAGCUUUUCUGUCUGUAUCCAUUUCUGAUAGGAGCUCCAAGAUCCACCAUGUCAUUGCUUUGUCGGAUCUUACUAAAGUUGAACCCCUCCAUUUUUCCACAAGUUUCUCCCCAACCUCAGAGAACUGUUAGCAUUCAAUGCUUGUGCUUAGUCUCACUCUCAGAUCUAUUAUAUUACAAGUUGUUAACAGAAAUAGGUGGUUCGUCUUUGAUUCACAUGAAUAAUUCUAGUUGCUUCAGAUCCAUGUUAAAAAUAUCUGUUAGGUAACAGCUUCUCUAUGGAAGAUUCACUUGCACUGGUGGAUAUGAUGGCAAGGCUGCUGGGAUAAAGAAAGAGAAGCAAGACCAAAUUGAGCAGAGGUGAAGAACUGCCGAAUUGCCUUCCAAUAAGGGAAGAAAGAAAACUCACUGCAAUGACCACAAGUCAAUCCUGAAUCUACCAGUUGAGAAAACCAUUGUGAUUUGUGAAUCUGCGAUCCACCUCUAGAUUCAAGAGGAAGUCUGUGGAGCAUAAGAACAUGACCCUCCAACAUAAGUUGGUCCAAAAAUAAUAGAAUCACCAUGAAUGUUAGUUCAAAGCCUUCAAUUCAUGUGCCCGAAGAGGAGGGAAAAAGCAGAAUUAGAAAAAUAAUGUAGAACCUCUGACUGGAAACCACAAGCCCAAACCUGAAAUUCAUGCAAAUAAGUGAAACACACCAAAAGGAAUAAACAAAAAAGAGGUACCAGAUCACACCAAAAGACUAAGACAACCAUGCUGGUGAAGUCGCUGGACCUUUGGUCACUGAGGCUACUGCCUGACCAUUGUUUGCACUUGUCUGUGUUGGAAUUAGUCACCAACCACCAACAGUAAUCUGCAGUUGAUCUCCAUUUUGCGACCAUCCCUCCUCCUGAUGCCACUCAACCAUGAGCGGCCGAUCACUGAAACAACCCCUGCUGACAGCCUUAAACUUUAAAUGGCCUUCAAACAUGAAUGAUCUGUCAAGGUGUUUUUUGGGUCAAAAUACAUAGAAGUUACUAAAGAGUGCUCAGAAGAAACAAAAAAGGGGAAUAUAAAAGAAUUCUAUGGACCUCAAUGCUGGAGAAAGGAAAUACAUUGAAGAUGGAUGGUAUUUGAUAUCAUGUCAAAUAAUUAUUUAGUUAGGGUUACAGAAGAAGAGAAAGGUGGUGAACUGAGAUACUAACUGAUGAAUGUAACAUGUUCCAUUAUCUUAGCCUAAUACUCAUAUACUAAUACUACCAUUGUUUUUAGUGGCGGAUGAUGGAUUAUGGUGGAAAGCCAAAAACAGGCCAUAUUUGACAAAUACUGAUGGCGUAUGGUGGAAUAUCGGCCAUGGAGGCUUGCUAGAAUUCCGCCAUAAGAUUCGGGCCAUGGCUGAUAUUUGACAACAUUGUAUCCUACUAACUUAAUCUAGUAUUAGGGCUACUAAAUUACACGUACAACUGUACAAGACCAAAUCCACUCACUAUACAUAAACUAGCAACCUUAGUAAGGAUACAACCAUGCAAAACAUUCUAACAUAAUCUAAAUAUUCUCAGUACUCUCUUACUGUAUUGAUUAAAAGAUAUUGAACAUGUGCUUCUGUCUUUCAUCCAAUGCUACCUCAAACUCAAGUUUAACUAUUGAGUCAUUGACCUUCAUUAUUUAAUAUAUUAAUUUUUUAAUGGCAUCAGUUCUGUCACUAAUAUAUUAUGAAAAGUUUUAAAUAGCUACUUCUUUUAUGUUGACUGGUUUUGAAUUUGUUUAUUUCUCAUUUAUUAUUUUAUGAUAAAUUCUUCUUUCUUUUUGUAUAUUUUCUUUCAGAUUGUUUUGUGGUUGAUAUUAUGGUGGAAACCCAUCAGUGUGCUGGUCAUCUUGUCUAAGAUGUUCUUUGCAGGUUUAUCUGUUAUAGACCCUUAUGUUUCCCUUUUUUUAAUUUUUUGAGGGGAUGCUAGCUAGCAGAUUUUAUUAAUCAUAUGUUAACCAGGUUUUUCUAUGUGUGUAUGCAGGGGUCUCUUUGUUUGCAGCCCUUGGCUUUCUUCUCUAUGGUGGGAGGUAAUUGUCUGUUUCAAUUUUCAACUGUUUUUGAGGUAAUUUGAAUGAUGAAAUGAAUUAAUGCAUCUAGGUUAGAGAAUAACUCUAAGCAAGGAAUUAGGCCUUGUCUGAAGAGGUUUUUAUGUGAGUUCUUCAAAUCUAUGCUGCCUUUCUUAACCUCGUCAAAUCCAAAUAGUGCAAAAACCUGGGCACCAUACAUAAUUUAUUUUGUUGACUGGUCUGUCUGUUUUCAUUUCUCUUUCUUCUAUGAAACUUGACUGUCAUAAUUUUUAAUAGCGGCUGAAAUGGAACUCCAUAACCUUUUAAUGUGGAUGUACACUCUUCAUGCAAUAAAAUAAUUCAUUGUAAUUGUCAUAUGUGACAACUGAAGGCACUUUUUAUACUUUACUUUUAGAUUUAAGUUUUAACAUUUAAAUGUUAGUUAUGUUCUUGCUUAAUAUAUGGACAUCUUGUAUCCUAUUGUUGUCCUACCCAUUUUUGUACUCCUUUGUCCUUUCUGAUCAUGGAUUAUGACAGAUUAUUCUUGAUGCUUCAACGCUUUCCUGUCGAGUCCAAAGGUCGACGUAAGAAGCUGCAAGAGGUAUUCAAUUUUGUAUAUCUAUAUGGUCUUUCCCUCCCUCCUUCCGUUCCUUUUGCUCCUAGUUAAUCUCUUUCUGCUCUUUUUAUUGCAGGUUGGCUAUGUGACCACCAUAUGUUUUUCAUGCUUCCUUAUCAGAUGUGUUAUGGUUAGUCCCCAUUUCUUGAUAAACCUCAGUGAUCCUUGUUGCUUGGUUUUAAAGUGAGUUUGAUCACAUUUCACUUUGACAGAUGUGCUUCGAUGCAUUUGAUAAAGCUGCUGACCUCGAUGUCUUGGACCAUCCCAUUCUAAACUUCAUAUAUUACCUGGUGAGUUUGUCUAUUAUAUUCCUUUAUUAUGCACUUUUCUCGCCAUGCCCCUUGCUGUUGCCCAUUGUUUUUUUUCAAAGAUCAUUUCUGUAUCUUGGUUUAUUUUGGGCUCAUAUGGUUAAUCUUGUGUUGAACUUAGUGUUGAAAGGUCUGAGAUUCCCUGGACCCCCCCCCCCUCUCCCCUCACCUUAAGUUUGUCUGACUCCAAUUAUUUAUAUGCAUUGGUUUGAUUAACCUACCUAAAUUCAUCUUUUCUUUCUGGCGUGUGAUUUGGGGCUAGUUUUGAUUCUCAGUAUGAUUGUUUUCACCUGAAACCUAAGUGGCAAAGGAGUUGGAAUCAGAUAAUAAGUCUCUUUCAAAAUCCUCUAAUUCAUAUGGUUAAGAGAUAUAUCUUUAGCAGCUUUACAACAACAGAUGGAAUUUUUUCUCAGAAAAUCGCAAUUGAUUUUCUGAUGUCCAUUUAAAAGGAAUUUGAUUGCUCUUCUUACUUCGUAGGAUUAAUUAUUGUAAUUCUUCCCACACUUCUAGAAUUUACUUUACUCAUUAUAAAUACUUCACAUUUGGUUUCAAGAGCCAUUGGGAUUCGGGAAAGUGUUUGUUCUAUUUGUCUUAAGUCUCUCAACUACAAUUCCUCUUACCCUUCUCACCUUUUUGCUGCAGUUGGUGGAAAUAUUGCCUUCUUCUUUGGUCCUUUUCAUUUUGAGGAAGUUACCCCCCAAGCGGGGUAUCACACAAUAUCACCCGAUUCGCUGAAAGAAUAUUAACAUGUGGAGAAAACUUAGUCAGAAGGCAUCAUUAGUUGUUCUCUGUUUUCUUGGAUGUUUUUGCACUCCAAGUAUAAAUUCUAGAGGACAGAGAAAGUCAAGUCUUUUCUAUGUUGAAUGACAAAGCUAAUGUCUUACGUUUUAAAAGUUCUCCCUUAAGGUUUGUAGAUUUUGUAACGUGACAUUUUAUGGAUUGUCAAACGUGUUGGGCUGUAUUAUAUGUGAUAUUUGCGUUGUCUCUGGGAAUAUGUUGUUGUUUUUUCAGGUUCAGCAAUUCAACACAAAUAGCAAACCUUCUUGGGAGAAGGGGACACUGAUAUAUAUUGUAUAAUAGCUUUUAAGUCCUGUAACUGCUACAAGUUGGUGAAAUGUACUGUUUAUUUGAUCUUUCAGUCAGGUUCCCGAUAAUUCAUUCAAUUGUACCCCUACUUCCAUUUCUUCUGUGAAACACUUAAUUUUCUUUCUACAGGGGCUUGAAUUUCUGUUUAUUUAGAUAUAUUUCACUGAUGUCGGUCAAAAUUUAACCGUGACGAAGCGUAAUGAAAUUUUGAAGCCAUGUUUCUUGUUAUCCCUUAAAAUUUAACGGUGGCUAUGCAUAAUGAACAUUCCUUAGUUUAAUUGCUACCUCUUGACGAACCAUGUUAUACUCAACAUCAAUUAUCAAUUAUAACAUACUACAGGAAACAAAACAUUCAAAAUGCAGAACAUGCUCUAGGUAGAAACAGAAAGAUCAGAGAAUUCAUACCUGGGGUGAUUUGUGUUUGCUGGAGUUUGAUGAUGGCAUUAAUCUGCGUUUUUUGUUGAUGGACCUUGAGUUGAGGCUCUAGCUUGAUGAGGGAUCUGCAUUGUUGUGAAUUUGCAACUUUA
rnacentral:lncRNA from 1 species